AAAAUUUUCCCAAUUGCCCUCAUCGCUUUGCGACUCGGGCAAUUUUGGAAAAUUUUGAAAACUCUCGUGCAAUUAAUCCAUAAUAGUACUUGGCCUCAUGUGAUUACAUAUACUAACUUUACCUCUGGUACCGGUGUUGAGCAGGCAUCGUAAAAAGCCCACAAUUACAGAAAUCAAAACAUUGACAGAAUUAAAUCAAAGAAUUUAUAAAGCAAAAUUUGUCACUGCAAGGUGCCAAGGUGAUCAUCACAGUUGUGUUCUCUGCAAUCAGAUAUAGUGAUGUAGCAAAGCAACAGUUGGUUUCUGCUGCAAAGAAAUUCAGACUUUCCUGCAAUUUUGCUUCCAAAGACAGCAUGGCAAUGGCACUGGCCAAGACCUUUCUGAAGGAGAACUUUGUUAAGGUAGACAGUGCAAACCUUCAAGAUAUCGACGGAGACAAUGUUUAAAAGCUCAAGGGUUACUGACUUCUUUCUUCAAAAGCUCAAGGGUUACUGACUUCUUUCCUGAUCAUGUUUUGCAAAUCAUUUAUUAUAUACCUUUAUACUUGUUGAGCAAAUGUUACUGCUUGAGCUACUUGAUCAGUACAGUAUGGUUUUUAAUCUUUGUAUUUUAUGUAGCAAUUAUUAGUUGAAAUUUUACAUUACUGGUAUGUAGAGUUUGAUUUUUGGAAAAGUUUUAUGAAUUUUUUGCAUUGUGUUUUUCAUGCUAAAAGUUCAAUUUUCAUCCUGCCUCAUUCUUUUGUGUUGAAAGGAAAAAGUAAAUUAUUCUUAUAAACAUUUACUUUGAUUAGCCCCAAUAAUUAUAGUGUAGUAUGAAUAUGUAUGUUGUGGUACACUGAACCUAAGGUCAUUUAAAUUACUAAUAUUCAAGUCAGUAGUAAAAUAAGCCUUAGACUGCCAAAGAAGACCUUUUUCACAUUUUUCAUGUGUUGGUUUGUAAUAUGGGCAAAAUGAAGAGGGAACCUAGAAUGGAGGCUAUCAAUAAACAAGUGUUUAGUACCAGUAAAACUUACCAGUAUUAUGUUUACAACCUAUUAACUAUUGAUGGUUUUUGACAAUAAAAUCCAUUAAUGUUAA